AGCAUAAUCAUUAGUUUAUUAAUUGUGGACUUGUAUGAAUGGUUGGACGAAAUAUUAACUGUCUCAUUUUUAUAAUUAGAAUUUAAAUUUUAAGUUAAAAUGCUUAAAUUUAUUUAUUGGACGAGAAGACCCUAUAGAUCUUUAUUUUUAUAAUUUUAUUAUUAUUUUAGUUUAUAUAUUUUGUAAUUUUAUAAUUGUUUUGUUGGGGUGACAUAAGGAUCUAUUAUUAACUCCUUUUAAUUGUUUACAUUUAUUUAUGAAUAAAUGACCUUAUAAUAUUGUAAUAAGAUAUAGAUACCUUAGGGAUAACAGCGUAAUUCUUUUUAAGAGUUCUUAUCGACAAAGGAGAUUGCGACCUCGAUGUUGGAUUAAGAUUAUAAUUAGGUGUAGGUGCUUAAUAAUUAGGUCUGUUCGACCUUUAAAAUCUUACA
rnacentral:rRNA from 1 species